rnacentral:misc_RNA from 1 species
AACCAGAAGACGGAAGCCUCUUUUCGUCUUGCUUGUUGGUCACAUCCGUGGUGACGCGGAUGUGACGGCGCUUGUGUUCCCGUACCUCUUGAGCACGCUUCUCCUUGCUUGUCGCCCUACCACCACCCCCGCCUCUCCUCUCACUCUCUCGUUCUGUCGCCGCGGCCGACAAGCCCAAGGAAGCAGCCCUCCGGUACUUAUUUGGCUGACCAACAAACAUGAGGGAUGCCGGUGACAUAGCAUCACCAAACCAGCCUACAUGAACACUGCUCAUGCGGACCGCCGCGCCACGUGGGACUGGGAUGUCGCCUCACCUAGCGCGGCGAUUCUCCCUGCGGGGGAGCCACCGCUACCAUCGUCGGCGAUGUUGUCGUCGUUGCUACGUUUGCUUUCUGCGGUGGCCAGCGGCUUGCGCACCCCACCGGCGCCGCCAUCCACCACUUCAUUGUUCCGAGAAGGCGCCCGAUUUGGUGACGGGGAGAGCUUGUGUGUGCACGCAUCCGAAGCGUCUUUCCUGUGCUGCUGUCUUGCGCUUCUUGUGUGCCGAUGGGUUGCCGAGCGUGUGGCGAUUCCUUCGGACGGCGAUCUGUUAGCCAUUCUGCGGCAGAUUCCAAGCGCACCACUCGGACGCGGCCCAUCUCACCCGUUGACGCCGUUCAACGAGGAGGCCGAUGACGAUGCCCGCGAGGAGAGCUGGCGCCGCCUUUACUGCAGCACGGUGGCGCUGGCGGACUGCCGUGUCUCUACGCUGCUCCCCGCCCCUCCACCACAGCUCACUCGCUCAGCGUUGACCGCAGUGCUGGAAUUAGAUUGUGACGUACUCAGCGAUGACGAUGACAGAGGGGCGCUAAUUGAUGUUGUGCUCUCGCACCUCUGCGCUGCGCCGAGUUUGCCAGGCGCUGCUGCGGAUGCCUGUGGUGGCACCGAGCGAAGCGUCAUGGCCGCGUUGAGCGACACGUGGCGUGAUGUCAAGUCUCGCAUUCCGCUCAAGUCCAGCUCCUCUGUCCACCUCACCGGUGGGCACAUCAGUGCGCUUCUUCGCAUGUACGCAGAGGCGAGCGUCGAGCUCGCAUCGAUUACACUUCUGCGGACCCUAACAGCAGCGGCCGAGCCCACAGCGGGAGCAGACACAGAAAUCGCAGCGGCAGUGGCUGCUCUUGGUGCGGUGCACGAAAUUCUCGGUGCUCAGCAGGUGGCCCGCAUCACCGCAUCGCACAUUGCCUCCGUGCCUACUGACCAGACCAGCCUCCAUCGUAUUCGCACCCUCCUGCUUGCGCUUCUUGGCGCAUCGCCGUUGUCCUCGCGCGCGCAGUUUUAUCUGCACCCGCAUCUAGAGCUCAGCAUCGAUCCGUCCCGCAGCGUCGCUGGGUGUGGCCUGGUGGCCAUCGGCACUCUCGGAGAGGGAGAGCUGCUCGCCCGAGAGGCGGCACUUGCCACGGUGGCCGGCACGGAGGUACGCAUAUUUUGCCGAGGCGGCUCCGAGACGACGAGCGCCGUCGCCAACACCGAAGAGCACAUUCAGGACAGCACGCCGAUCUGGAGGGAAGGUGUGCGACGUUGCCACAGCAGUGCGGCGACCGCGCCUGUGGCGGAGGAAGCAGCGAAUGAGCCGAUCGCUUGGACACGUCAUCGUAAGGACGCAGCGCCGUUCAUCACAGAAAAUGGCGAUCGCAGCGCGGCAGCGCAGCUUCUUAGUCUGCUGGCCCGCUUCCCGGAUCUACUGCGCAGCGGCCUGCACCAGUGGGUCGAACGGGUGAUGCGCGAUGCUUUUGCCUUUCAGUCUGCCUCGUGCGUGCAGCAGAUGCAGGCCAGCAAGGCCACAAAGCCUCCGGCGGAGGCCGCAGAACAAAAAAGCCCGUGCGACACAAACAUCACUGCCGGCGCGCCGCUACGCAGAGCGCGGAGCUGGCGCGGAGGCGCGGUGCAUGCAUCUCUUCCAUCCGUGCCUCAGCUGCUUCUCGACGUGCGAGGCGUUGAUGAAUUUCGCAUUGAACCGCCACCCCGAUCGUGGCGGCACAAGCCGUGCAAUGGGCAGCACGGAUGCGUCAAUGCAGGGCUGAAGAGAGGUGAUGGUGACUGUGGCGUGGCUGCAUGCGCUUCUCUGAGCGCGAACGAUGUGUCUGUGAAGGCACUUUUCCCGUUCUUGCGCCACCUCAACCACGCGUGCGUCCCCAACGCGAUCCUCGUGCUGGACAGGACACCCACGCAUCUAUGCAGAAGCGGCGACGACGGUGUUGUCGCGUCACUCGUUGCACUGCGGACCAUCGAGAGCGGAGAGGAGAUCACGGUGUCGUACGUGCCUGCCACUACAGCUCUGACGGUGUCGCAAAAGGAGCUGUCGGAGACGCUUGGAUUUCAGUGCCGCUGCCUCUUGUGCACCCAGAAGGCCGCGUUGCUACGUGGGCAUGUGUGCGGCGAGUGCGGACAGCUUAUCUAUGAGCCAGACAUCCAGGGGGAACCUGGGGCUCUCACCAGUAUGCUCGCAGCGGCUGGUGCGUCGAAAAGGACCACCGUGUUCCGGCAUGAGGAGAAUUGCCCACAUCGGCGAAGGACUUGUGAGGUACACGGCGUCACCGAAGAGAGGAGCUCAGCUGCCGCUCAGUUGCAGCGUCAGCUGGAUGACGUCGUAGUGCGGUUGGCCAAGGGUGAGGGCGAAGGCGAAGCCACAGAGAACGCGCGUGAUCCGGUGGUGGAAGCGGUGCGACACCUCGUCGACCUCGACGCGUGCGUCGCCCGGACUCUUCUGCCUACGCACUUUCUGCGACUGCGGCUUCGCUUGGAGGCGUUCGCCUACUCAACGGUGGCGAGAGGCCUCGGCUCCACUGUGAGCGCCGAGCUCAUCCAUCUCUGCGCAAGCACCCUGGAAGAGCUGGAGAUGCUCAUGCCGACCAACCACCCCCUCUUGACCGGGCUGCGCAUGUACCUCGUCUUCAGUCGUGGUCGACAUGUGCGAGCGGUAAACGCCGCUGAGGAUUUGGCGCACGGCACGCGGCACGCGGAGUGCUGCGGUGCCGUGCGCGAGCAAGCCGCACUGAUGCAGCUGCCUUUUGUUGUGGACCCGCUUGUGCGCCGUUGCGUGGUGCGCUGCUUUCAGGAGCACUACGUGCAGCUUCUGCGGUGGAGAGCAGAGUGGCUGUCGCGCGCUGGUGAGGCCGGCGCCUUGAUGUCUUUUCUGGCACGGUACUCGGUGGAAUUGGAGGCUUGCGGCGUGACGACGGCGGAGCACAUGGAGCUGCUGUCCUGCAUGGAGGACGGUGCCGAGGACGCGUAGCACAGCCACUCGCAGGGUGGUUGGCGUGCUGUCGGUCACCAAAUAACCAAUGCAUGUGCCCAUGGGCGCAUGUCUCCUUCUUCCGCUGUGCUGACGGGAGGGAGCGCAGCGGCACAGAGGCGCCCAAAAGAGGAUCACACACACGUGGCGGCACUGUCCGUCUUUGACCUUUUCUUGCCAUCAGGGAUGUACAUAUCUGGGAGGGAGAGGAGGGGGUGGGAGCGGCGGCACUGGCCGACCCCACAACACGCGUGAGCUCCUCGUUGUCUGCAUGUCGGGUGGCAUUCGGCACGUUCAGCUGAGGCCGUGUGAUGGAGCGCGCGCGGCAAACAUAAUCGUGCAGCCUUCUGCUCCUGCCUCUCUCUCGCGGUGCGUUGCUCAGGGGAUGCACUUCGUGCUCCCACUCUGCCCCACACCGUCCCUCUCCCCCUCCUUUCCUUCCCCUUUUCCCUCCUUUUCUUCUGCGAUGUUUGGGCUCUGUGCGCGUUAUUCGCUCAUCCGCGUCGCGCUGUUCCCCUCGUGCGUUGGCGGCGGAAAGUCAGACACGCCGCGACUACGUCGGCGUCACACAUUGUGGGUGCUUUAGGAAGCGACACGGUCAAGGAACAGGGACGCCGUCCACGGCGCAGGAGUGAUUGCACUCGUCCCUCUCUCCGCACCCCAGUGCGGGCCCACCUCCGUCCUCUUCCCCUUUCUUCCCUCAUACCUCCCCCCCCCCCACACAUUCCUCACAUCCAUGGAG